rnacentral:lncRNA from 1 species
UGGAGAUGGUGGAUGACAAGGCUCUCUAACUAGUCGUCGUUUGUUCAUGUUCUAUGGUGGCCAUGCAUUGGUUGCUCUUAUCAAAAGUGCUUAUUGCUUUAUAAUGGGUGAUGAUUAGACUCGAAAUGUAACACCCUAGCCUAGGAAAAAUAGAAUCCAACCCAUCUACUUCCUUAAAAGCAUAAAAAGCCAAAACAACAUCAUUUUGAGGAAACCCUAAAAAUGACGUUGUUUUGAUAUAAAGAUAAAAGAAGGGAAGGGGCUCAAAAUGACAUUGUUUUGAGACCAUCAAAAUGACACCAUUUUGAUGUUAGAAAAAAAAAAGGGGAG